UGCAGGUGAGUCUACGUAUCAGAGGUUCCACGGACCUCAAGGUGCUGUUCCCCAUUGUGCUGUGUAAUAUUCCUGUUUACGCUCCCCAGCCUCCACCUCCAUAUCAGUAGCAGUAGUACUAGGAUCACGUUGCCCCUAGACUCAGUUCAGUGUUUUUCUACCUAAUGGUUAAGGUUAGGAUUUAGACAGGGUAAGCCUCGCUUAGAUACGAAGGGCAACUUGUACCUAGUUAUAUUAGAGACAUGCAUAGUGUCUCACAACAUCCGUAACCAAAGUUACAUCUGGGAAUAUGAGGGUUACAGGGAACCAUUCUUCUGGUGAGCUGGUUUUUGUGUCACUGAUUAUUUGGACAAAUCAUGAUUUCGCCGGGUUGGUCUAAACCUGGCAUCUUUAGAAUUUUGGAAAGGGAGGGGUUAAUUUAGGCCCAUAGAUGGCUAAAAGGAUUUCAGAGGAGGGCAUGUGGACUUUGCCACUCACAUUAGGCCAAACAUCUCAACAUGCCCCCCCCCCCCCAGUACCAUGUCCAGUAGCUGGCCAGAGGCCCACGUUCACUCUAGAUUUGGUUCUGGAUUCUGAGAUUAGACACUGACAAACCCCUUUUAAGAUGGGUUUCCAAUUCUACAAUUUCUACAUGUUUAUCACCAUAAGAAUUGUUAGAGCAAGUUUUGUCAUCGACCACCAUGUCAAAUCCUUCCUUCAUAUAUUGUCUCUUAUCACUAUCUAUGGAAGUCUUGUGCUGUUUCUGCUCACUAUUGCCAUAACUGUUCAGAAUUCAUUACUUUUUUUAAGACAGACAUUUCAGAGUCUAUAAUUCACCUCCAUCUAAGUCAUAAGAUGAGGAACUAUUGGGCAAUGUUAUUGCUAAGAGGACUAACUCAAUACUACAGCUGAUAAAGAAGAAGGCUUGAUAGACAACUAAACUUGCUCUAACAAAUCUUACAAAACAAAUUGUAGGAUUUAUGUUAAAUGCCUCUUAAAAAGGUUGAUUUGCAAUAGUUCUCAGGGUUGUACCAAAUACGGUACCAGAUUUUCUAAUAUUUUAUGCAUGAACUUUUAAAAGGUGUUUGUUCCAUUAAUAUUUCUGUUCCAUGUUUUUAUAGCCAUAUAGUUUUAUUUACAGUUUGUGUGUGUGUGUACAUUUCAUACUACUUACAUACAUGUAAUGAUGCCUUGCCAUCCUUCAGUGUUUGAGGUGACAGACGGACAGUGCUUUAAAUAUCUAAUGGUGCAGUCGUCGUUCAUCUCUUGCCAGGUCAUGUUACUUAGCAUUUCUUUCAAGGUGCUUGAGUGAUUGUUAACAUAAGAUAAUUGGGCUUUGCGACUGUGUUUACUCAUGUUUGAUCAAUCACUCCGUGGUGUAUGUCUGUCUGUCUCAUCCAACUUGUCUUUUUUAUCAUGGUUCAUUUAAGGAUUCGAUUUGUUAUUCAUGGUCAACAACAUUGUUUUGCCCCAUUCAUUUGGAAAAAUAGAGUAUUCAGGAUACUUGUGAUUCAAUCACUAAUUCAUUUGUACGUCUGUUUUAAAAGUACACUGUAAUGCUACUACACUGUCCUCUUGCUGUGGUCUGAAUAACAAAACCAUGUUUUUACACUCCUAGUUGUAUGAGCGUAAUCCAACAGAAAGUCUGAAACAUUUGACAUUUAUAUGGUUGAGCUUACUAUAUGAAGAACCAGUCAAAUUCACGGACAAUAAUAUAUUUUUCAUAUGAAUUGUAUUGAUAUGUGUUUGUGUAAACUAUAUAUUGUAUUUCUGUUGAUGUUAUAAGUGUUUUUAUGUCUGUUUUAACACUCCCAAGUUCAUCCAUUGAGGACAUCUACUCAUUUUAAACUCUUUCAAACUCGCUUGAAGAGUUCAGUACUGCCAUUAAAAGAUGUGCACAACCCAUUGUUUUGAAGAUGUAUUGGUGGUAAAUGCAUUAUGUUGUAUUGAACGUGGACAUUUUUUUUUUCAUUUGAUUUCAAAUGUCAAAACUGGCCUUGUUUGUGACGUAGUCCUUGUCAUUGAGUUCCCUUGAACCUUCUUAAUGAAGACAGGGAAGUGCACAUCUCUAGACUCUGUAUUGCCAAAAAUGUAUCAUUGUAAUCUCACAAUAGAAACAUGUUGAAGUGUGUGUAUACAUACAUGUUUUAACCACAAUACCUUUUAACAAUGUACUGUAUAUUUUGUUGUGUUUGUCAAACUGAGUAUCAAGGUAGCACUUUAGGAAAGCCCACUGAUAAACUUUAAGUAGAUCUUCACAGAUUGGCCACCUGUAGAAUUUGACAUUUUGUAAGUACUGUUUGAAGGAUACUACUUAUAUGCCAUGAAUGUUAUUGACCUGUAAUAAACACUAACUUCCAUUUGAC
rnacentral:lncRNA from 1 species